rnacentral:tRNA from 1 species
CGGGGUGUAGCGCAGUGGUAGCGCACCACUCUGGGGGGGUGGUGGUCGCUGGUUCGAAUCCAGUCACUCCGA